GAUGAACGCUGGCGGCGUGCUUAACACAUGCAAGUCGAACGGAAAGGCUCCUGCUUGCAGGGGUACUCGAGUGGCGAACGGGUGAGUAACACGUGGGUGAUCUGCCCUGCACUUCGGGAUAAGCCUGGGAAACUGGGUCUAAUACCGGAUAGGACGAUGGUUUGGAUGCCAUUGUGGAAAGUUUUUCGGUGUGGGAUGAGCUCGCGGCCUAUCAGCUUGUUGGUGGGGUAAUGGCCUACCAAGGCGUCGACGGGAAGCCGGCCUGAGAGGGUGUACGGCCACAUUGGGACUGAGAUACGGCCCAGACUCCUACGGGAGGCAGCAGUGGGGAAUAUUGCACAAUGGGCGCAAGCCUGAUGCAGCGACGCCGCGUGGGGGAUGACGGCCUUCGGGUUGUAAACUCCUUUCGCUAGGGACGAAGCGCAAGUGACGGUACCUGGAGAAGAAGCACCGGCUAACUACGUG
rnacentral:rRNA from 1 species